ensembl:lncRNA
AUUGGAGUUGGUUGCCUAAUGUUUGGCUGUAAAACGGUACAGAUAAGAAUAGGGAGGGUGAAUGCACUGUGAUAGGGGACACGAUGUGGUAAGUGAUAGGGGAGACCCCAUGCUGAGAGAGAGAAAGAGGGAGGAAGCGAGAGAGAGAGAGUGAGAGGGGGAAGAGAAGCAAAGGAAACCAAAGACUUUAUGUGAGACGAAGAAUUUAUUAGACUUUAUAUCGCACUGAAGAGGAUAAGAAAGAACAAAUUCAAUAAAGGAAUAUCAAGGAAUUACUAAGGCUUUACAUAACAUUACGUAGGGUUAAAUAGAGUGGAUCAGCGACAGAAAGACAAGUUAAGGCGUGGAUGGAUGAGUUUGAGUAAAAGGGAGAGAGGAAAAGUAAAUGAGGAUGGAAUUAAUGGACGAAUCAGAAGUAGACAGAGACGUGCAUGUGUAGACUUAUGAUGUCACAAGAGCGCUUACCUCUGAUUGGAUCUUCGAAAAAAAAGAGUGCAGCCAAAGCCUCAAGCUCCGCCUCCGCUGCUCCCCAGCGCCCCCCCCUGGCCGGACUUAGACGGCGCAGCAGCCGGCCGUCCCAGCCCACCUCCUCGUCCUCCUCCCACCCCCUCUCUCACGCCUUCCUCCACACCGACACCUCCAUCACCCCCUGGGAGGGCUCUCCCUCUCCGAGUCCUCCUUCACCUCCAUCCCUCCUCCUCCCCCCCCCUCUUCCUCCACCUCCCCCCCCCCCCUCC